GGUGAAAAAGUGAGGUAAGAGCUCACUCCUUAUAUUAGAAAUACUAUAAGUGGUGUAAACCCCAGCUGGAGCAAGACCAAAUAAAGGAUCAGAAGCUGUCUUCUUCGUUAUUAGUCCUGGGUAGGUCGCGUGAGCUUUUUAUUAAGCCAAUAGAUAGAUGAUUGUAUAAACAGAAUCCGGCUUAUUGUUUACCACUUCCU
rnacentral:RNase_P_RNA from 1 species